rnacentral:lncRNA from 1 species
GUUUUGCACUUUCUCACAUUAGUAACUUGUGGUUUAAAAUGUAUCAAUUUAGUGCCAUAUGGUUUCACAGUAUAGAACAAUCCAAACAACUUGAAUUUUGACAGAAAUUUUUUUUUACUAUUUAGAUAACGUUUGAUAACUUUAAUCAUGAAUUGAAAAAGUUUAACAUCUAUUUUUCACAAGGUUAUUCGUUUUUUACCGUUCAUUUUUCAACUCUUCAAUAAACUUGAUAACGCAUUUUAAAAUUUAUAAAAUUUAGUUUCUGUUGGAACAGAUAGUGAUAAAGGUAUGAAAUAAAAAGAUUAAAAAGGCUUCAAGGCGUGUAGCAAUGCCACUUUCCUUAAAGCUUAAUCCAUCCCCACCGUUCUACCAAUUUGGUGUGCACCGGGUCAAUGAACAACCUCCCAGGAUACAAUGAAGCGUAAACCUCAACUGCGUUUGCACACACAAAGUCGAGCCUUUGAGCACUCACUCGAUUAAAUUGUCAAAAGAAAUAGAAUAUAAAACAAGAAUGGAAUUAUUAUGAAUGGAGACUUAAACUCUUCAACUGUUUUCUGUCUGUGUCCUUCUGCAACCAAUGCUAUAGACUUAUAUAGGCCACGAACGGGUGCUUCAUGAAGUGACUAUUCACGAAAGGGUGUUUCGUGAAGUGACUAUUCAUGAAUAGGUGUUUCGUGAAGUGACCUUUCAAUUGUGACUUUUCAUUUGAUCAUAACUACCAAAUAGUUAUAUGAAUCAAGUUCAAUGAAUAUAACCAUUGAUUCCAACGGACAUAUGUACGAAGAGACACACUAUAAAGAUGUGUCCUUUCAUAUCAUAUUCUUUCACUAN